CCUUUCCUCGUCCUCAUUCAGCCUCGGCGUCUGCGGGAGUAAGACAUAGCUGAGUCAACAGACGCUUAUAUAUCGCCUUGUUUGGUGGAAGAGGUACUUGCAUAUUCACCAUGAGUGGAAGACUUGCAAGUGGACCACGGAAGUGGAGUCCAAUAUGUGAUGGAAGAUUUUGUACAAGGAACAGUUGGCUUUGUAUUCGUGUACCUGAGGAAGUUGCAACCAGAUCAGGAGGCUAGCAUUUAUAGCUAUGGAUCAUGAGGAAUAAGCAAGACCAGUGCAAUUUUAACCUGUACCUGAAUAAGGUGUACAUGUUCAGAGGCCAGUUCUUUACACAAGGGACCGAGUGCUUGUUCUCAACCAAGUUGCAUGCAAGUCGGAAGACUAGUUUACAUCACUUAUAGAUCAG
rnacentral:lncRNA from 1 species